AGUGGCCAAACCAGGUGCCAAUAUUCCAAUCCAAGCACUGAUUGGUUUGACCACAACCUCCCAAAAAACUCACUUCCUUCUUAACCUGUGAGAGGUUGGGAGAAAAUUUGCCCUGGUAUCAUUUUGUCACAGUACGUACCAUUUGUAAAGUAACCCCAAAACCACAUAGUUAGCAUGUGAUAGCUCUGAAUCCAUGUGUCUGCCUUGCAGUGGAAGUUAAAGAUCCAUUAAAUCCUCACCUUAUUAACCAUAAAGCAAACUGGAUAACAGCCACAGCAGCCUUAGCUAUGGUUAGCCUGUGUUCCCAGGGAUGUCGGGGUGUUCCUGAUGGGGCAGAAGGAAGAGCUCCAGGCCCUCUGUGAGGCCCCUCAAGCCCUGAGUGAAAACAACAGCCCCUCCCACAUAAGCAUAUUUGUUCAGGUGAUGUUCCAGGGAAGAGCUGCAGAACUACUUUCAUUUGCUGGCUCAGAAGAGCCUGUGUCUCUUUAAGACCUCCAGAUCCCUUGGAAGUUUGGCUUCCUUGCUUUGCCUGCAUCUCUGUGGAACUGAUGCGAUGCAAAUCCAGAGCCCUGGGACACACAGGCCCCUCCUGCUGUUCUCUUCCACGCCAUGUUUUGUGCACAGACACAGAGGAACGAGGGCAGAUCAGGCUGGAAAGAUCCCUGUGCUGAAGGUCCAGUUCCACAACACUGUGCAGUUACAGAUCUUGCUGAGCACCCUGGAGCCCCUGGACUUUGGGAGAGCCAACCUGAGGAUGCUCUGAACCCAGCUGUGAGGGAUUCCAUGGCAAGCAUCCACAGAGGGCAAAGGAGCUUGGAAAUGCUGGAUGGUUUCAAGAGCAGCUUGCUGAAAGCACAGCAGUGCUCCAUCCCUGCACAGGAUCAGGAAGAGGGCAGAACCAGAGACCAUCUGGGCUUAACAGAGAGCUUUGGGUGUGCCUAAGGGCAAAUGAAGCAGCAGCACAGU